ACGGGGGGUGCAAGCGUUGUUCGGAAUUAUUGGGCGUAAAGCGCGUGUAGGCGGUCUGAUUAGUCUGAUGUGAAAGCCCUGGGCUCAACCCAGGAAGUGCAUUGGAUACUGUCAGACUUGAAUACGGGAGAGGGUAGUGGAAUUCCUAGUGUAGGAGUGAAAUCCGUAGAUAUUAGGAGGAACACCGGUGGCGAAGGCGGCUACCUGGACCGAUAUUGACGCUGAGACGCGAAAGCGUGGGUAGCAAACAGG
rnacentral:rRNA from 1 species